CUGCUUCUUUUCACCACUGGUGAGCAGCACAGGCCGUGUCAGGUGCACUUUGUAAUAUUCGCUCAAAUUGCACUUGUCCCGGCCUGCCUUGCCCACGCUUUCACAAGUUUUCAAUCA
rnacentral:precursor_RNA from 12 species